rnacentral:rRNA from 1 species
GCUAGAACGAACGCUGGCGGCGUGCUUAACACAUGCAAGUCGAACGCGAAAGGGACUUCGGUCCUGAGUAAAGUGGCGCACGGGUGAGUAACGCGUAGAUAACCUGUCUUCAUGUCUGGAAUAAUACGCCGAAAGGGGUACUAAUACCGGAUAUUCUUGCUUUUCAUAAGUUAUGCAAGCAAAGGUGGCCUCUGCAUAUGCUACUGCAUGAAGAGGGGUCUGCGUACCAUUAGCUAGUAGGUGGGGUAAUGGCCUACCUAGGCGACGAUGGUUAGCGGGUCUGAGAGGAUGAUCCGCCACACUGGCACUGGAACACGGGCCAGACUCCUACGGGAGGCAGCAGUGAGGAAUAUUGCGCAAUGGGGGAAACCCUGACGCAGCGACGCCGCGUGAGUGAAGGAAGGCCUUCGGGUCGUAAAGCUCUGUCAAGAGGAAAGAAGUGUACAAUGGCUAAUACCUGUUGUAUUUGACGGUACCUCUAAAGGAAGCACCGGCUAACUCCGUGCCAGCAGCGGC